rnacentral:sRNA from 1 species
CGUCCUCGAUCUGUUGCGGGCAGAUGAAGUGGAUGUGGCUGUCGAACCCACCAGCGGUCAGGAUGCGCCCUUCACCUGCGAUGGCUUCGGUACCGGGGCCAACGAUAAUGUCCACGCCGGGCUGUGUGUCGGGGUUCCCGGCCUUGCCGAUUUUGUGGAUACGGCCGUUUUUCAAUCCAACGUCGGCUUUGUAGAUGCCGGUGUAAUCGACGAUCAGGGCAUUGGUGAUGACCGUGUCCACGGCGCCAUCUGCGCGGGUGACUUGCGACUGCCCCAUGCCGUCGCGAAUG